UACAGAGGGCGCGAGCGUUGUCCGGAUUCAUUGGGCGUAAAGAGCGUGUAGGCGGCCAGGUAGGUCGGUUGUGAAAACUGGAGGCUCAACCUUCAGAGGUCGACCGAAACCAUCUGGCUAGAGUCCGGGAGAGGAGAGUGGAAUUCCUGGUGUAGCGGUGAAAUGCGCAGAUAUCAGGAAGAACACCCGUGGCGAAAGCGGCUCUCUGGAACGGUACUGACGCUGAGACGCGAAAGCGUGGGGAGCGAACAGG
rnacentral:rRNA from 1 species